AAACGUCGGCACAGGAUCUGAUACCCUUGGUUGUAGUUCGAGGUGCCCAUUUCAGAUCCCGGCCUGGCGUCCUUAGCAGUCUGCUACUAGUCGGUGAGGUGCAUCUGAAACCAUCGAGACGUUCGUCAAAUCUUGUGCAAAUCAAUUUUAGUCAGAUCAAGAAGAGCCCUUUGCAAAUGUUAAACCUAACUCGUGCUCACUUCUCUGGCCUUAGCGCGAUGCACUCUGCAGUGUGGAAAUUGCAUGCACCUUUCAUGUGUAUUUGAUGCCAGUCCGUCCUUCCCCAGGAUCUACCCCGUUCAGGCACCCACCCUAUUGGAUGGACAAAAACAAUGACCAAACGGAGAAAAGCUGUGUAUUGUUUCCUGUGUUGCUUGCCUGUUGGUGGUGGCUCCAACCAGGUGCCAAGGUCCGAUGGUCGUGGAGAGGAGAUUGGUGGUGAUGGGUUGUGUGUUGAGAUUUUUACAAUUUAGCAAAGAGUGUACAAGGAUGCUGUUGCGGCGGCCACCAGGGUUUUUUUUUGCAUCCGAAAGGUCCAUAC